rnacentral:rRNA from 1 species
AGAGUUUGAUCAUGGCUCAGAUUGAACGCUGGCGGCAGGCCUAACACAUGCAAGUCGAACGGUAACAGGAAGCAGCUUGCUGCUUCGCUGACGAGUGGCGGACGGGUGAGUAAUGUCUGGGAAGCUGCCUGAUGGAGGGGGAUAACUACUGGAAACGGUAGCUAAUACCGCAUAAUGUCGCAAGACCAAAGAGGGGGACCUUCGGGCCUCUUGCCAUCGGAUGUGCCCAGAUGGGAUUAGCUUGUUGGUGGGGUAACGGCUCACCAAGGCGACGAUCCCUAGCUGGUCUGAGAGGAUGACCAGCCACACUGGAACUGAGACACGGUCCAGACUCCUACGGGAGGCAGCAGUGGGGAAUAUUGCACAAUGGGCGCAAGCCUGAUGCAGCCAUGCCGCGUGUAUGAAGAAGGCCUUCGGGUUGUAAAGUACUUUCAGCGGGGAGGAAGGGAGUAAAGUUAAUACCUUUGCUCAUUGACGUUACCCGCAGAAGAAGCACCGGCUAACUCCGUGCCAGCAGCCGCGGUAAUACGGAGGGUGCAAGCGUUAAUCGGAAUUACUGGGCGUAAAGCGCACGCAGGCGGUUUGUUAAGUCAGAUGUGAAAUCCCCGGGCUCAACCUGGGAACUGCAUCUGAUACUGGCAAGCUUGAGUCUCGUAGAGGGGGGUAGAAUUCCAGGUGUAGCGGUGAAAUGCGUAGAGAUCUGGAGGAAUACCGGUGGCGAAGGCGGCCCCCUGGACGAAGACUGACGCUCAGGUGCGAAAGCGUGGGGAGCAAACAGGAUUAGAUACCCUGGUAGUCCACGCCGUAAACGAUGUCGACUUGGAGGUUGUGCCCUUGAGGCGUGGCUUCCGGAGCUAACGCGUUAAGUCGACCGCCUGGGGAGUACGGCCGCAAGGUUAAAACUCAAAUGAAUUGACGGGGGCCCGCACAAGCGGUGGAGCAUGUGGUUUAAUUCGAUGCAACGCGAAGAACCUUACCUGGUCUUGACAUCCACGGAAGUUUUCAGAGAUGAGAAUGUGCCUUCGGGAACCGUGAGACAGGUGCUGCAUGGCUGUCGUUAGCUCGUGUUGUGAAAUGUUGGGUUAAGUCCCGCAACGAGCGCAACCCUUAUCCUUUGUUGCCAGCGGUCCGGCCGGGAACUCAAAGGAGACUGCCAGUGAUAAACUGGAGGAAGGUGGGGAUGACGUCAAGUCAUCAUGGCCCUUACGACCAGGGCUACACACGUGCUACAAUGGCGCAUACAAAGAGAAGCGACCUCGCGAGAGCAAGCGGACCUCAUAAAGUGCGUCGUAGUCCGGAUUGGAGUCUGCAACUCGACUCCAUGAAGUCGGAAUCGCUAGUAAUCGUGGAUCAGAAUGCCACGGUGAAUACGUUCCCGGGCCUUGUACACACCGCCCGUCACACCAUGGGAGUGGGUUGCAAAAGAAGUAGGUAGCUUAACCUUCGGGAGGGCGCUUACCACUUUGUGAUUCAUGACUGGGGUGAAGUCGUAACAAGGUAACCGUAGGGGAACCUGCGGUUG